rnacentral:misc_RNA from 1 species
UAAUGCUAUAAUCGUCGUGAACAUUAGUAUUUAGUAUACAUUACAAAAGCGUAAAUUCUAUUCGAUCUCUUUCACUCUUAUUCAAAUUUCAUUGGUAAAAUUAAGUAAAGAAAUAAUUUGUGCUCAAGAUCCAAAUAUUAAUUGUCAUUACACAUUUGUUAUCAGCAUACAAACUUCAGAAAUGAGAGUUCAUAGUUCAGUCUUAAAAAUAAAUAUUAUUACGUUAAUUUUUAUUGUUAAACAAAAGUGAUCUUCAUUAUAUCAAUAACAUAUAAUGAACGCUAUUGUUGGUAUUUGCCACUUUUGCGAAGCACACGGUCCCCGGCCUAUUUUUUGUACAUUUACUACAGACAACGAAAAGAACACUACAGAGUCUUCCAAAGCUAAUGUUGAAUGCAAUGGAUGUACUUCCCUGGGUCCUGAGACUGUUUUGGUAACGAAAGAUGAUGAUGGCACUAUAUUCUGCAGUCGAGAAACAGUUCCUAAUAUUGAUGUGACAUCGUUUCUGAGGCAGGCAGCUGUUAGAAGUAUUACCUGUGAGGUAUGCACAAUUAAAUCAUGCUGGACUUAUAUUAUAUACCCCUAUAUAAAAAAAUAUUAUCCAUAUCAGGUGAACUGGAGCAAAGAGGGUGGAGUUGUAUACUUCAGUGAUACUCAAGGCCAUGUCCUCAGCCUCACGUUCCAAUUGCGCGACACACGGGCGCGUGGGCUCAAACGAUGGUUCUCCAUAGUGGUCCUCAUGAAGGACAAGAUGUUACUGCUAAAUAUAACACCAUUAUUGUCUGAACAUAUGCAGAACAUAGCAAAAGAGUUGCAGCAAUUGGCUGAUGUUGUUUUUGAUGAUGAGCAAAAGGUUUGUUCACAAAGAGCCUUGAGGUUACAGACAGGCAGAAAUGAUUUUGGACAAUCAAGAUCUCUGAAACAGUUGACAGGUAAUGAGGAUGUGUUCAAAACUCUCCACUCACACUUUGCUUGGAUGCUAAAAGCAGGGGCGCACACAUACACAGAAACAUUGUAUACCAGCCAAGACCUGUUGAGAAAAUUGAAUCCAAAAACAAUCAAUGGGACAUCAUUUGAGGAUGGUGCAUGUGUUGUACCUAACAAUGAAGAUUGCAUAUCAUUGAGAGCACUAGAGAACUUACUUACAAAAAAUGUUUUCAGAAUAUUGUUGUACUGUACUUUAAUUGGAGUGAAUAUUGCUAUAAGAACAAUACACACAGAUGCAUCAAUUAUCAUGAAGGGCUUAGCAAGACUAAUGCCAGUAACAAAUACACUUUCACAUAUCAGAAUAUUUAGAGGAGAAGAUCCUUCCUCUAAUGUUUGUGUUUUAGAAGAGGUGAAUCAAUCUACCUAUAGCUGUAUAUGGGCAGAAGUUCUCCCAAUGAAAUAGAAUGCUAUGUGCAAUGAUAAAUUCAAUGAUGGUGUUUUACAUCAACAUGUAAAAUCAUUGGUCCUAGAAUGGCUAAGUACUGCAAAAGCAAUAAAAGCCACUAUGUCAUCAGCAGGUCACAAAUCGGAAGCAGUUACUAAAUUGAAACAAGUACUUGGUGUUGCACAACAUGAUGAGCAGCUUUUAAAUUUUUGGAUGUAUUCC